AAAAAUCUUACUGUUAUAUUUGUAUCAAGAUUUGUAUAAGGGUUUUAUAACUUAUACAGCCAUUCUGCUCGAAAUGGUGUAGCAUUGGAAACAAUGGUACUGCGAAUUGUAGCAAGGUGUGUGGCGACCUUUAACAGUCAUGGUGGUCUCUUGAGUGGGUAUCUUAUGACAUUAAAAAUAGAAAGUAAGCUAUUAUGUCAGCUGUAGGGCAAGAGUUACAGUCGGUGAAAUUAAGCCGAAUAAGAUAAGU
rnacentral:sRNA from 12 species